rnacentral:misc_RNA from 1 species
AAGUCGUAACAAGGUUUCCGUAGGUACGUUGUAACCCCCCUUCUCAAACCCUGUUCGCACUUUUGCUCCAAGUACUACUAUUUAACUACUUUGCUAACUGAUUCGUACAGGUGAACCUGCGGAAGGAUCAUUACCGAGUAAGGGUCUUUCAGGCCCGACCUCCAACCCCGUGUUUACUAAACCAUGUUGCUUUGGCGGGCCCGCCCCCCGCGGCCGCUGGGGGUGUCACUACCCCUGGUCCGUGCCCGCCAGUAGCCUAUUUGAAACUCUUUUUAACCGUGUUCGUCUGAGUCUUAAAAA